GCCAUCUGCAAGCUAGGAAGAGAGCUCUCAUCAGAAACCAAACACACCCUCCAGAACUGCCUGUCUCCACAUGCACAUUGCAAGCCCACACAACUGAAGGCUGAUGUUAUCAGCCAAGUCGGGCAGGAGAUGUAUCUGAGAGUCCACCCCUGUUGGAGAUGGAGGGAGACCAAGAGGAGAGAAACCAGGAUUGCACUGAGGCCGGGGUGAAAACAGGCCGCCCAGUGGGAUGCUAGAGAGCUGAGAAGAGAUCUCAAGCUGGGAAGAUGCAAGCCUGAAGCUAUCUACAGCUAUCCUCUUCUCCCGUCCCCGCCCCUGUGUUCUUGCCCCCACCCAAGAGGAGGAAGUCACCUGCUGAAUAAGACAUUACAUGCACAGUGAAGAAAAGAGAUGGAGACCUUGCCUGACUGAACUGUGUUGGACUCAGGAUUCACUCAGUUGUAUAAGACAACUGAUCUCUUCUGCUUAGCCCAGUUCAUCUAGGAAUGGAAUUCUAAAUGGAAAAAAAUUUUUUCUUCAACAUUUUGAAGGUAUUAUUUCAUGGCAUUUGAAAGCAAUGUCGCUGGCAUCCAGUGUCGCUACUGACAGUUUUUCAAAGCUGUUUUGAAUAAUAGCCUCUUCUUGUUUAAUGGAAGCAACAUCUUAUCUCUAAGCAAGCACGGUGACCAUAUUUUCCAUAGAAUCAGGACGCAUUAUCUGACAAGUGAUUUAUGGGCAGCCUCCAGGUGCAAAAAGGAAUCGGUGUUAUAAAAGUUUCAACAUCAAAAUAUUGGAACUCCAAGGAUAGCUGGAUGACUUUACUGGAAAAAGCACAUUUGGCACCACUCCCUGUAAGACUGUGAGUUACUCAAGAGGGGGAACUAGACAUUACACCUCUUUUGAAGUUCUCUCCAUACCCAGCAUGACUACUAAAUCCACUACUGAGUGGAUGGGUGGUUGGCUGAUCUCUCUUCUCUCCCAGCUCAAGUGUCAUUUCAGAGACACCUUUCUUGAUUUCCCAAAUGAGGUCAUGCUGUUAUGUUCUCAUGGCA